rnacentral:misc_RNA from 1 species
AAAGUCGUAACAAGGUUUCCGUAGGUGAACCUGCGGAAGGAUCAUCAAAUAAUACAUUUGUAUUGUGAUAAAUUGUGGUUAUUAUGAACAUGUUCUAAUUCAUUGGAUUAGAAUCUUUUUAAACUAGAUAAAUUAUAGAAAUGGAAUACGUUAUUAACAGAAAUAACUAUCAACCACGGAUCUCUAGGCUCUU